UGGGGAAUAUUGCACAAUGGGGGAAACCCUGAUGCAGCGACGCCGCGUGAAGGAUGAAGUAUUUCGGUAUGUAAACUUCUAUCAGCAGGGAAGAAAAUGACGGUACCUGACUAAGAAGCCCCGGCUAACUACGUGCCAGCAGCCGCGGUAAUACGUAGGGGGCAAGCGUUAUCCGGAUUUACUGGGUGUAAAGGGAGCGUAGACGGAAUGGUAAGUCUGAUGUGAAAACCCGGGGCUCAACCCCGGGACUGCAUUGGGAAACUAUCAAACUAGAGUGUCGGAGAGGCAAGUGGAAUUCCUAGUGUAGCGGUGAAAUGCGUAGAUAUUAGGAGGAACACCAGUGGCGAAGGCGGCUUGCUGGACGAUAACUGACGUUGAGGCUCGAAAGCGUGGGGAGCAAACGGG
rnacentral:rRNA from 1 species